UACGAAGGGGGCUAGCGUUGUUCGGAAUUACUGGGCGUAAAGCGCACGUAGGCGGACUAUUAAGUCAGGGGUGAAAUCCCGGGGCUCAACCCCGGAUCUGCCUUUGAUACUGGUAGUCUCGAGUCCGGAAGAGGUGAGUGGAAUUCCGAGUGUAGAGGUGAAAUUCGUAGAUAUUCGGAGGAACACCAGUGGCGAAGGCGGCUCACUGGUCCGGUACUGACGCUGAGGUGCGAAAGCGUGGGGAGCAAACAGG
rnacentral:rRNA from 1 species